AAAAAUGCUCCGCGUUGGAGCAUUUUUCAUUUUUAAAUAUUUGAAGUCAAAUUGAAAAAUGCUCCACGCCAGAGCAUUUUUCAUUUUUCAAU
rnacentral:sRNA from 1 species